UGGACAAGCCCAGAGAAUUAAGUUGUCUAUUCAUAGAGCAGGUUCAGUGUGGGCAGCAACACCGACUGCUUCUCAUGUUAACCUGCCAGCAUUUCUCAAACCUGACCUCAGGGGGCUGCUCCUGAGAAUAAGUUCAGCCACCAGUCCAGAGUCUUUCUCUCUGCUGAG
rnacentral:sRNA from 7 species